AAAAGCACACCGCUUGUGAACUGUAACCCAAUUCUAAUUUUUCCCUUUCAACAGCAAAACCCUACCGCCACUAGAAAUCAGGGAAAAUAUAAACCGUAAAUUCGGCCCAAAUUAGCGUUUUAUUUUCAAUUCCUAGGAUUGUAUAGGUUUUGAUAUAUUUAUAUACAAAAAUCCUACCAAAGGAACCACCACUGAAUUUCUAGAUCAAAGUUUUAAUGAGAAACUCUAUUCCCCAUUCAUACAGCUCCCAGAACGAAAUUGAGUUUGACGACAAUGCUUUUGAUGAAGAUGAAGAGAACCCAUAUCAAAAUGUUGCUGAAAAUGGGCAACUGUAUAAUUAUGAGGAAUCCAAGAGGCACCCCAAGAAAAGAAAGUUGGAGUCUUUCGUCUCGAACUAUGAGUUUGUCCCUCAAAACGGAAUGUGGAGUGAGGAGGAGAGCUUUGUGUUGUUGGAGGUUUGGGGGGAAAGGUAUAUGGAGUUAGGGAGGAGAAGUUUGAGGACGGAGGAUUGGGUUGAGGUUGCUGAGAAGGUUUUGGAGAUGAGUGGAGUCGAGAGGACAGAGAUGGAGUGUAGGAGCCAGUUGGAUGUGCUGAAGAACAAGUACAAGAAAGAGAGGGUCAAAGUGGAAAGUGGGCAUGCGAGCAAGUGGGCGUUCUUCAAGAAAAUGGAUGUUUUGUUGAAUAUGAGGACUAGAGGUCAUUGUGGAUUGGGGUGUGGGAUCGACUCAGGGGAGUAUGUGUUUAUGAAUCCACGGGUGUACUUAGAUAGGUCUAAUUUGUUGGAUGAAAUGAGGGACAGUCCAGGGCAGUCAGACGAAGAGGAUGGGGAGGAGGAAGAGUUGGGAGACGAGGAGGAAGGAGCAGAGUCGGCUAAGUUGUUGGCCGAAUCGAUUCAGAGGUUUGGAGAGAUAUAUGAAAAGAUUGAGGACAGUAAGAGGAAGCAUAUGAUGGAGUUGGAGAAGAUGAGGCAAGAUUUUCAGAGGGAGUUGGAGUUACAGAAGAAGCAGAUUGUUGAGCAUGCACAGGCCGAAAUUGCUAAAGUAAGAGAUAUGGAUGAUGAUGAUGACAGUGAUGACGAAGAUGAUGAGGAUGAUGACAACCAUAAUAUUGAUUUUUCUGGGGACAAUUUAAGGGGUGAUGCAGAGGGAACUGUAGGGAAUUCUAAGCACUGAAAACAGAGUUUAAUUUUCUCGACUUGGUUGUAUUCCCCGGUGAUUGGAUGGGAAAUAGUAAUCAGGAGCAGACAAUCGAUCUUGUGAAUCACAGUUUCCAGGAUAUUGGGAAGAUGACUACAGAAUCCCUAUAAUUUUCGUGGAGUAGUUCACCUUCUGCAAAGCUCGACGAGCUCAACUACAACAGCACAGAAUGUAAUUGAGAAUGAAUUUUGUGUACUAUAUUGCAAGUAACGAAUUUUUUUUCUCCUUUCGAAAUUAUCGGCUGCAUUCCAUUGAUUUAGAAUUUCGUGUGGCUUACCAAUCAGAGUAACAUGCAAUUCCUGAUUUUAAAUAACGUUAUUUGGCAGUACA